rnacentral:tRNA from 1 species
GCAGUCGUGGCUGAGUGGUUAAGGUGAUGGACUGGUGAUCCAUUGGGGUCUCCCCGCACAGGUUCGAAUCCUGUUGACUGCG